CCCUUAGGUGUCCUGGGCCGCACGCGUGCUACACUGAUGCAUACAGCGAGCACUUCCCGGCCCCGAAAGGCGGCUGGUAAUCAGCAAUAUGCAUCGUGAUGGGGAUAGAUCUUUGGAAUUCUUGAUCUUGAACGAGGAAUGCCUAGUAGGCGCAGGUCAUUACCCUGCGUCGAUUAAGUCCCUGCCCUUUGUACACACCGCCCGUCGCUCCUACCGAUUCGAGUGAUCCGGUGAACCUUUUGGACCGAGACUGCUUGCAGACUUGGGAAAUCAAGUAAACCACGUCACUUAGAGGAAGGAGAAGUCGUANCA
rnacentral:rRNA from 1 species